GUUCGUUUUUAUGAGCGUUCGGUGGAUGCCUUGGCAUCGGGGGCCGAUGAAGGACGCGGUGGCCUGCGAUAUUCCUCGGGGAGCCGGCUUGCGGGCUGUGAUCCGAGGGUUUCCGAAUGGGGGGACCCGGCGCCCGUUGUGGGGCGUCACCCGCGUCUGAAUGUCAUAGGGCGCGGGGGGUGACGCGGGGAAGUGAAACAUCUCAGUACCCGCAGGAGUGGAUAUUCCGUGAGUAGUGGCGAGCGGAAGCGGAUGAUGGUUAAACCGUGCGCGUGCGAUCACCCGGCGGGGGUUGCGGGCGCGGUGUUGUUUGGGGCGCGUUCUUCCCGUCGCCGCCGCGGCGGGGCGCAGUGCAUUGAACCGGUCGGGUAGCCGAAUCCCCUGGGAUGGGGGGCCGCAGCGGGUGACAGCCCCGUAGGCGGAACCCGGCGGGCUGCGCGGGCGCGGCCCCCAGUAGCACGGGGCCCGUGGAAUCCUGUGUGAAUCUGCCGAGACCACUCGGCCGCCUGAAUACCUCCCGAUGACCGAUAGCGGACGAGUACCGUGAGGGAAUGGUGAAAAGUACCCCGGGAGGGGAGUGAAACAGUACCUGAAACCGGGCGCUCACGAGCCGUCAGAGCCCCUUGUGCGCAUCCUCGGGCCGUGUGUCCGGGGGGCGGGGGGUGAUGGCGUGCCUAUUGAAGAAUGAGCCUGCGAGUCGCCGCCGCGUCGCGAGGUUAACCCGUGUGGGGGAGCCGUAGCGACAGCGAGUCCGAAUGGGGCGCCCAGUGGCGCGGCGCGGACCCGAAGCGGGGUGAUCUACCCAUGGCCAGGUUGAAGCACGUGUAAGAGCGUGUGGAGGACCGCACCCGCCUCAGUUGAAAAUGGGGGGGAUGAGCUGUGGGUAGGGGUGAAAGGCCAAUCAAACCCCGUGAUAGCUGGUUCUCCCCGAAAUGCAUUUGGGUGCAGCGUCCCGUGCUCCCCGGCGGAGGUAGAGCUACCGGUUGGCUGAUGGGCCCCACAGGGUUACUGGCGUCAGCCGAACUCCGAAUGCCGUCGGGCGGUGAGCGGGGCAGUGAGACCGCGGGGGAUAAGCUUCGCGGUCGAGAGGGGAACAGCCCGGAUCGCCGGCUAAGGCCCCCAAGCGCGCGCUAAGUGGGAAAGGAUGUGCGGUCGCGGUGACAACCAGGAGGUUGGCUCAGAAGCAGCCAUCCUUGAAAGAGUGCGUAAUAGCUCACUGGUCAAGUGGUCGUGCGCCGACAAUUGAGCGGGGCUCAAGCGCGCCGCCGAAGCCGCGGAUCCGCCGCGAUGGGCUCUGCCGCCCCCUGUGGGGGGGUGGUGGGGCGCGGCGGGUGGUAGGGGAGCGUCCCGCGCCGGGUGAAGCCGCCGGGUGACCGGGGGUGGACGGCGCGGGAGUGAGAAUGCAGGCAUGAGUAGCGAUACUGGGGUGGGAGUCCCCAGCGCCGUAUGACCAAGGGUUCCAGGGCCAGGCUGGUCCGCCCUGGGUGAGUCGGGACCUAAGGCGAGGCCGACGGGCGUAGUCGAUGGAUGACGGGUUGAUAUUCCCGUACCGGACCGGAUACCGACCGUGCCGACGCGCGGGUGCUGACCCACGCCCCGCGCCGCCCGUGUACGCCUCCGCGUCCCGGUCUUCGGGCCGGGCGGGGGCGGGGCGGCGGGGGUCUGGGGACCCUCCGCGCAGGUAGGCAAGCGUAUUAACAGGGGUGACGCGCAGUGGUGGCCCCGCGGGUCUGAUGGCUCGGCCCGUUCAAGCGCGCGGCCCGCCGCCCAGGCAAAUCCGGGCGGCUGCCUUCAAUGGCGGGGGUGAGGCGCGAUGGUGACCCGGCCCGGUGGGGUCGGGGAAGUAGGGUGAUCCUGUGGCGCCGAGAAAAGCCUCGACGCGAGGGGCCGGUCCGCCCGUACCCCAAACCGACACAGGUGGUCGGGCAGAGCAUGCCCAGGCGCACGGGCGAACCGUGGUGAAGGAACUCGGCAAAACGCCCCCGUAACUUCGGGAGAAGGGGGGCCCGAACCCUGAGGCCCCGAGCGGGCUGGGGGUGAGGGUCGCAGAGGCCAGGGGGGAGCGACUGUUUACUAAAAACACAGGUCCGUGCGAAGCCGCAAGGCGAUGUAUACGGACUGACGCCUGCCCGGUGCUGGAAGGUCAAGAGGACCCGUCAGCCCCCCUUGCGGGGGUGAAGCGGUGAAUUCAAGCCCCAGUGAACGGCGGUGGUAACUAUAACCAUCCUAAGGUAGCGAAAUUCCUUGUCGGGUAAG
rnacentral:rRNA from 1 species